ncrna:unclassified sequences Transposase-2 RNA
GAAGUGCGAACCAAGCAGCGGCGGAAGCCGUGUGAGUCUUGGAGCGGGCGACCGUAAGGGCGCCCUGCA